UGGGGAAUAUUGGACAAUGGGCGAAAGCCUGAUCCAGCAAUGCCGCGUGAGUGAUGAAGGCCUUAGGGUUGUAAAGCUCUUUUACCCGGGAUGAUAAUGACAGUACCGGGAGAAUAAGCCCCGGCUAACUCCGUGCCAGCAGCCGCUGUAAUACGGAGGGGGCUAGCGUUGUUCGGAAUUACUGGGCGUAAAGCGCACGUAGGCGGCUUUGUAAGUUAGAGGUGAAAGCCCGGGGCUCAACUCCGGAAUUGCCUUUAAGACUGCAUCGCUAGAAUUGUGGAGAGGUAAGUGGUAUUCCGAGUGUAGAGGUGAAAUUCGUAGAUAUUCGGAAGAACACCAGUGGCGAAGGCGACUUACUGGACACAUAUUGACGCUGAGGUGCGAAAGCGUGGGGAGCAAACAGG
rnacentral:rRNA from 1 species